rnacentral:rRNA from 1 species
AACUAACGCUGGCGGCGUGCCUAACACAUGCAAGUCGUACGAGAAAGUUGGCUUCGGCCGAUGAGUACAGUGGCGCACGGGUGAGUAACGCGUGGAUAAUCUGCCCUUAAGUGUGGAAUAACGUACCGAAAGGUGCGCUAAUACCGCAUAAUGCCUGGCAACAUAAGUUGUCCGGCCAAAGAAGGCCUCUGCUUGCAAGCUUUCGCUAAAGGAUGAGUCCGCGUACCAUUAGCUAGUUGGUGGGGUAACGGCCUACCAAGGCGACGAUGGUUAGCUGGUCUGAGAGGAUGAUCAGCCACACUGGAACUGAGACACGGUCCAGACUCCUACGGGAGGCAGCAGUGAGGAAUAUUGCGCAAUGGGGCAACCCUGACGCAGCAACGCCGCGUGAGUGAGGAAGGUUUUCGGACUGUAAAGCUCUGUCGAGCGGGAAGAAGUGUACCAUGGCUAAUAUCCAUGAUAUUGACGGUACGCUAGAGG